rnacentral:rRNA from 1 species
AAGAAGUUUAUUGACGGUACCUCAUAGAAUAAAGGACCUAGCAAAACUCGUGCCAGCAGCAGCGGUAAUACGAGUGGUCCAAGCGUUAUCCGGAAUUAUUGGGCGUAAAGGAUGUGUAGGUGGUUGUGUUAGUCGAAUGUCUAACCUCUGUGCUCAACAUGGAGACAGCAUUCGAAACGGCACGACUAGAGUAUGUUAGGGGUAAGCGGAACUCAUAGUGUAGGGGUGAAAUCCGUUGAUAUUAUGGGGAACACCAAAAGCGAAGGCAGCUUACUGGAACAUUACUGACACUGAAACAUGAAAGCGUGGGGUAGCGAAUGGGAUUAGAUACCCCAGUAGUCCACGCCCUAAACGAUGUUCUCUCGCUAUGAAAAGUAUCGACCCUUUUCGUGGCUUAGCUAACGCGGUAAGAGAACCGCCUGGGAAGUACGAUCGCAAGAUUAAAAACUCAAAGGAAUAGACGGGGAGACGCACAAGCAGUG